rnacentral:lncRNA from 1 species
UAAAUUCCAUCCAAUACUAGGAAUAAUAGACUUUAUUCCAACCAAUCUGGAUCCACACAAUUUUUGUAAUCACAGACUUCUUCUGUCCAAAAUACACACAACUCUCGAUAAACAAAAAUCAUAAUCUUCCAAUCAUAAUCAAUCUUCCAAUAACCUCUCAUAUAAUUCAAUCACUCAGUACUCCAAUUACAUAAUCAAUAACUCAUAAAUCAAUCUCUGAUUUAUUCCACAGACUCACUUCUCAGUAUUCAAAAACUAUCCAUUAUUCUUUAAUAACAAAGAAAACAAAGAAACAAAGAGGUAGCACCAAGCUUACCCCGGCUCAUAACUAUUACAACUUGGCACCCCAAUAAACUUCUACAACUCCUAU